rnacentral:rRNA from 1 species
UACGUAGGGUGCGAGCGUUAAUCGGAAUUACUGGGCGUAAAGCGUGCGCAGGCGGUUUGUUAAGCCAGAUGUGAAAGCCCCGGGCUCAACCUGGGAACUGCGUUUGGUACUGGCAAGCUAGAGUACGGCAGAGGGGGGUGGAAUUCCACGUGUAGCAGUGAAAUGCGUAGAGAUGUGGAGGAACACCGAUGGCGAAGGCAGCCCCCUGGGCCGAUACUGACGCUCAUGCACGAAAGCGUGGGGAGCAAACAGG